rnacentral:rRNA from 1 species
CAACUUUCGAUGGUAGGAUAGAGGCCUACCAUGGUGGUAACGGGUAACGGGGUGUUAGGGCACGACACCGGAGAGGGAGCCUGAGAAACGGCUACCACAUCCAAGGAUGGCAGCAGGCGCGCAAAUUACCCAAUCCCGACACGGGGAGGUAGUGACAAUAAAUAACAAUACGGGGUUCUUUCGGAUUUCGUAAUUGGAAUGAGUACAAUUUAAAUCUCUUAACGAGGAACAAUUGGAGGGCAAGUCUGGUGCCAGCAGCCGCGGUAAUUCCAGCUCCAAUAGCGUAUAUUAAAGUUGCUGCAGUUAAAAAGCUCGUAGUUGAAUUUCGGGACCAAUAUGUCGGUCGUGCCUCGGUACGUACUGGCAUCGUUGGUUUCUCCCUUCUGACGAACCAUGAUGUCAUUCAUUUGGUGUCGUGGGGAAUCAGGACUGUUACUUUGAAAAAAUUAGAGUGUUUAAAGCAGGCUCACGCUUGAAUACAUUAGCAUGGAAUAAUGAAAUAGGACGUUUGAUUCUAUUUUGUUGGUUUCUAGGAUCGACGUAAUGAUUAAUAGGGAUAGUUGGGGGCAUUAGUAUUCAAUUGUCAGAGGUGAAAUUCUUGGAUUUAUUGAAGACUAACUACUGCGAAAGCAUUUGCCAAGGAUGUUUUCAUUAAUCAAGAACGAAAGUUAGGGGAUCGAAGACGAUCAGAUACCGUCGUAGUCUUAACCAUAAACUAUGCCGACUAGGGAUCGGAUGAUGUUAAUUUUUUAAUGACUCAUUCGGCGCCUUACGGGAAACCAAAGUGUUUGGGUUC